rnacentral:rRNA from 1 species
GGUAUGGGAUGAGCUUGCGUCCGAUUAGCUAGUUGGCGGGGCAACGGCCCACCAAGGCGACGAUCGGUAGCCGGCCUGAGAGGGUGAUCGGCCACAUUGGGACUGAGAUACGGCCCAGACUCCUACGGGAGGCAGCAGUAGGGAAUAUUGCACAAUGGGGGAAACCCUGAUGCAGCAACGCCACGUGUGGGAAGAAGCAUUUCGGUGUGUAAACCACUGUCAUGAGGGAAUAAGGCCUAUUUUCGGAUAGGAUUGAAUGUACCUUGAGAGGAAGCACCGGCAAACUUCGUGCCAGCAGCCGCGGUAAUACGAGGGGUGCAAGCGUUGUUCGGAAUUACUGGGCGUAAAGGGAGCGUAGGCGGAGAUUCAAGCGGAUUGUACAAUCCCGGGGCCCAACCCCGGCUUUGCAGUCCGAACUGGAUCUCUUGGAUAGUUCAGGGGCAGGC